AUGGGAAUCGAACCCACAGUGUUCCGCUUACCGAGCAAAUGCCAUGUCCACUAGGCU
rnacentral:tRNA from 1 species